UGUUCUUUUCAAAAGAGAGAGAUCCGCUAUAUAAAUCACAAGUGGAAGAAGACCCAUCACUCGGUAUAAGGGCAUGUUCCAAAACCCUAAUUUCCGCCGUUCAUGCUCUCACGCCCAUGUCGUAAACGAGAGUUCUUGUGGAAACAGAAGAUGGGUCGUCCUCCACCAAGAUCUUUGGUGGGCUAUUUGCCAAGAAGGAGAUGAGAAUCCUGCAAGCAUACAAGAUCAAGAAUGGUGGGUUUGUGACUGACCCACCAAUGGAUGGGUUCUGAUGUGGAGGUAUGGAAUGCAAGAACGUCAGCUUUAGCAGUUGGGAAAUCUGAUGCCAGGACUCAGGAUCAGGUAAGUGGAGUUUUCGCACCAGAACCCCACAUCUUGAUAUGGUGGGUGAACUUGAUAUGCUUCCUCGCUAUAGUGGUCUGCUUCUGUGAGAAAAAACAGAAGAAGCCAUUUUUCACUCUCCCUGUAUCCAUAUGGUGCUUAUGGACGGUCUUGUGCUAAUUAGGUUAUUACUGCAGUAGCACGCAACAUAAGUAUAAGCUAGAGCGACCAGCAAGCCACCUUGUCUUUCAGUUUUCACCUCGUUUCUAAAUGGGGGAAGGCUAUCCACGCGGUGGCGGACAGUAUCUGCAUCAUUGUCUUCAUUAGAUUUUGGAACUUUGAAGUGCUUAUGGACGGUCUUGUGCUGAUUAUUGCUCCAUCAGCACAUAACAUAAUUCAUAAGCUACAGUUAGAUGCCACUCUUUCUCCAUUAGCUUUCUCUUCUUGCUAUUCAGGGAAAGCUAACCAAAUUGUGGCAGAUAUCCAUGUACAUGGGUAAAAACGAUUUUUGCCAUUCUUUCAAUCCAUUAUCCAUUUCUUUCCAGCCGUCUAAUCCAUUUAAGCUUACAAAUUAUAGCAUGCACAUCAAAUGUUUGACGAGCAUUCUAGACGAAUUAUUGAUAGCUAAAGGGCUGAAAAUCAGUGCCAUCAGAAUGUUUCGUCAUCAAUAUUUACUAAAUUUAUGUCUACAUAAGUUCCUCAUACACAUGUUAUAUUGAAUAGGGAUGAACUGAUGUCCUUUUCUGCAUUUGCCAAUUAGCAAGACCUUUCGGAGGCCAUGAAUGCUGCUGGAAUCACUAAUAAGCUAGGUAAUCACUCUUUGUAGAAGAAGCCAAAUGCCCAAUGGCCCAGCAAUGAAUCUCCCAUCUCUUAAACACCAUUUUGGGUACCCUUGUUUUAGGGUUUGAGAGGGUAUAUUCAGGUCAAAUGUGGUGGGCUCUAGCAUGGAGUGAACUGGCUCACCAGUGUCACAGUGUGAUUUCUCUCCUACCCUCUAUUUGUUAUUAUCUUUAUUUCAAUUACUUCAUAAAAUGACCAUUUGCAGUGGCGUCAAGAUAGUGGCAUGAGGGUGUUUGUACAAGCAAUCUUGGAUGGGAUGAUUAUUAUUGGCUCUCUGAAGGUAGGGUUGACCUCUCAUGCACAAACUGGUCGGGAGCUGAUGCCGCUUUCCUGAUGAGGCCAUGGCAGGUCGAAACCAGUUGUUGUGCUGAAAUACUGUGUAUAUCUUGCUCGAGGGACCGGAUGCUUGAGCCAUAUUGGACAUGGUACGGUAGAUUAUGAGUAUGUGAUUCGUGAUAUUGUUCUUGGGAGCGAUCUAUUGAGAGAAGGCUGCCCUAGUGUCUCGGCUCACUAGGCACCACACGGGCUUGUCCUUGGCCAGGAAUACUUUAGGCCCGUUAGAAAUCAUAUCAGAGCAACUUUCCCAAACUAAUAUGCACGGAUGCUAAGAAGAGAUCUGCCGCCACGUUUCUGACAAGAAGAAAAACCUUUGUUGGUUUGCUGAGAUCAAGAGAAGCCUAGUAGGCGAAAGAAGUGCUGCCAAGGAAGUGCAGUUGGCUCGAGAUGCCACACUUGUCAAGGAGAGUACAAGUGACUAGAGAUUCGCAAACAGCUUUGAUUGGGGAAAGCAACUAAUGGAGUGUAUUGGCUUGUUUUGUUGGGCGAGCAUUUGCCAUUCAUGUAAGGCCCAUGGGAGUGGCGGUGAUGGUUGAAGAAUGCAAGGAAGCGACAAAACAGCGAAACAAAGUGCUUGGUAGGCGAAAGAAAGUGCUGCAAAAGGAGUGCGGUUGGCUUGGAAUGCCACACUUGUCAAAGAGAGCACAAGUGACUGGAGAUUCGCAAACAGCUUUGAUCGGGGGAGCAACCAAUGGAGUUGAGUGGCUUAUUUUGUUGGGCGAGCGUUUACCAUUCAUGUAAGUCCCAUGGGAGUGGCGGUGAUGGUUGAAGAACACAAGGAAGCGACAAAAUAGCUUGCAACAAGGGUGUUGCUGGAAUUGGGCAGGGGAGAACAUCCGAGUUUUGUUUUCUCUCAUACCCAAGUGGGUUGAAAAGUGGAGGCUUUGUGGCAUCUAAGUGAAGUGCAAGAAAUACAAAAGGGUAAUACAACUGGUUUAUCGGGGUGGCAUCAGAGUGUUUGUGCAAGGAAUCCAGGGAUGUGAUGAUUAUAAAUUUAGAGGAUUUCUAAAGGCGGGGUUGGCCUCCCGUGCACAAACUGGUCGAGAGCUAAUGCCGCUCUCCUGAUGAUGGCCAUGGCAGGCCGAAACCAGUUAUUGUGCUAAAGUGAUUUGUAUAUUUUGCUACUCUAUUCUUGAGAACGAUCUAGCGAGAGAAGGCUGGCCCAAUGCUCCAGCUCACUAGCUGCCGCAUAGGCUCGUCCCUCGGCCGUGUAACUUUUGGCCCGUGACACUAGCCUCGCUAGAUUGGUAUAGACACUUGCUGUAGAAGAAUAUGUAUAAAUGUUUUUUUCCAAUAUCUGUCUGUAUAUGCUCCGCUCGCGUUUUUAACAUUGGUGGUUUUUGCAGGCUCGAAAAGUGGACAGAUUUUGCAGAUUUUGAGCGAGUUUCCUUUGUGCAGUCUGUUCCAAAAUGAACUCUCACUUCUUUCCAGUCGGAAUUCUUCUGUGAUUAGCCUCUUCGCAGAAGAUGGAGGGGAUUCAUCUGCCCAUACCCCCAUCUAACUGAAGCAAGAGAAUUUCUUUCUCAACGAGAUUUGGGCAGCAGUUGUUUAUACACCAUUCUUUGGGGAACAAAUGAGUCUGUGAUGAAAUUCUUCUCUAUUGUCAUGCUGCAAUU